UAAUAUAUAGACGAAAACAGUACCAUUUGCAGGACGGUUAUAUGAACUGGCAGCCAUUGUUGAUGUUUGCAUUGCUUGCUGGGGCCGGGAGAAUUCCACGAUUACAGCUCAAAUAGAAGGAGUGAGUGAGGCAGGAUGAGUCUGAUGGGUGCUUAGGCUGAGAGUCACGCCGCAGGGUCAGUGAGGGGUACGGCCGGCAGUAUGGUGACUCCUACGGCGGCGGUAGGUCAUCACAGGAGUACUCAUGUGACAGGAGCAGCAGUUGGGGGGUGGUCACAGGGGAGGGGGCUGAUGGCGAAACCAUGGGAGGGGGAGAUGGUGCCGGGGAGUGGCAGGGUGGCCGGCCUUAUGCUGCAGGGGACGGCCACUGCUCCGGACAUCAUGGCGUAUGGAUAACCUGGAGUCCGAAGUGGCACUUAAUAUUCUCAAUGCUGUGGUGACUAAUAAAGAAGAGGCACAGUGGUCAAGACAGGGACUGGGAAGGCAGACAGAAGAGGAGGAUGGACUGGAUGAGUAACAGCAGUACUAGUAGAAGUAGUAGUAGUGAUAGUUUGAUCAUAGUAGAGAUAGCAGUAAAAUAUCUAGUUGUAUUAUUAGAAGUAGUAGCAAUAGUAGAAGUAAUACCAGUAGUAGAAGUAGCUUGGUCAAAGUAGUAAUGGUAAUAGUAGUGAUAGCAGGAUGUUAUUUAACUGUAUAAAAGAAAGAUUAAAUCCAUAUAUAAAACUUAUUGGCAGGACCAGUAGCAGCAGCAGUAGUAGUAUUAGGAACACCGUGGUCAUAAUAACAGAAGUAGAACCAUAACAAUUCACUAUAUAAAACAAAAAGCACCAAACUAAUAUAGCAUCAACAACAACAACAACAGCAACAGUAGCAGUAGUAGUAGUAGUAAUAGUAGCAGCAGUAGUAGUAGUAGUAACAACACUAACUCCAACACUUUACCAACAGGACGACCAGUACUAUGGGUCUGGCUGCGGCAUCCUACCCACCCCCCGGAUGCCCCCAUGCUAACUGCCCUGGCGCGACCCUAACAUUGGCCCUGCACACUCCUGGGGUGUGGUGGGGGGCUUUGUACCAGGGCGGCCGGGGCGGGGGCGGGGUAGAGCAACAGGACUGGGGUACAAGAUGAAGAAAACGUUGCCGGCUAAGAAGAAAAUAGGAGCUAAGGAGGUUAAGACAAGUGGUGGUGGUGGUGGUGGUGCUGGUGGUGUGAAACCGAGGAUAAGACUGUAUCAUCAGUCUGAUGAUAUUUUGAAUAUCAAUUAUUUAACUUCUGCAACACCUGAGGACAAGACAGGAGCCAGCUCCUCCCAGAAUGAGCCCACACCUGCACCUGAGGACACACCCACACCUGCACCCAAGCCUUCACCCACCCCCAGCACCCACUCCAGCAUCCAGCACAGCCCAGGGGAAGGCCCAGGGCAGGCAGCCAAGGGCCGAGGCGGGGGCAGGGGUGUGGCGUGGGGGAGGAGAGUGUGAAGUGUGUGGGUUAGGUUUGUAUGUGGUACUUUGUCUGGGCUGCUCCAUAUGUGGGAGAGCUCGGUUGGUGUAGAGAUGGAUAGAUAGAUGUGUGUGUGUGUGUAUGUGUGUGUGUGUGAGGGAUUUGUACUUCAUUCAAGCAUCAUUUAUUUUUACUACUGCUACUAUCUUGUUCACUACUGGAAGAUUAGUACUAAGAUGUGAUUCUUGUUAUUUUUAAGGGUAUUAUUCCAAUGUUUUUUGUAUGAUUGCAUCUCAUUCCUGUUGUACUUGAGAGAGAGAGAGAGAGAGAGAACAGGCCCCAUUGCACAAACUAAUGAUAAAAAAAACUCACAACCAUUCCAAAAAGUAUAAAUAUGUUAGUUUUGUCAGUAGAUUUUGCAAGAAAGGAAAUUUGAAAUACAGGAGUGUGUGGGAGAGGCAAAGGAUAUGUAGGACGGCAGAUUAGUGUGUGAAGGAUGUGUAGGAGAGGCUGAGGAUAUCCUGUACACUGUGUCAGGAUGGUUAAGGGUGAUUUGGAAGGAAGCUAGUGUGUGAAGGAUGCAUUAGGUAGGAUGUGUAGUAGUGGGUACAAUGUGUUAAGAAUGAUAUGUAUGUUACAGGAGAUAAGGAUGUGUAUUUUCACCACAAGUAUGUGUACAGAUUGGUGUUAACACAGCAGGAAGGUUUGAUGAAGCUGGACCAUCAUUCCUUGUGUUGUCUUAAUAAAUGUAUGCAAACUGA